rnacentral:lncRNA from 1 species
CGCCGAACGUGACGGCGGUGCUGGAGAAGGCCGGGCAGUACACCAAGUUCAUCCGGCUGAUGGCGUCGACGCAGCAGGACACGCAGCUGAACGCGCAGGCCAACGAGUCGGACACGGGCUUCACGGUGUUCGCCCCCACCGACAACGCCUUCAACAGCCUCAAGCCGGGCACCCUCAACUCGCUCUCGCAGCAGGACCAGGUGACGCUCGUGCAGGCGCACAUCGUCCCCACCUUCUACUCCAUGGAGUCCUUCGAGACCGCCAGCAACCCCGUCCGCACCCAGGCCUCCGGCACCGACGGGCCCUGCACCGUCAACGUCACCGCCACCAGCAACAGCGCCGUCAACGUCUCCACCGGCAUCGUACACACCACCGUCGGCACCGCGCUGCGCGCCACCAGGCCGCUCGCCGUCUACUCCGUCGACAAGGUGCUGCUGCCCAUGGACCUCUUCGGCCCCAAGCCGCCGGCGU